UAAAAUAUUGUUUUAAAAAGUGUGUAUAAAACUUUGUCGAAUUGGGUUGAAAAUUAGUGAGCGGUCUUAUUAUCGCGCGUGCCAAAUUUCGUCGCAAUCAAAGGUCGUUUGAUACCCCCAACGGAUAAACCUAUAGCUACAUUAUAGCCGGUUUAAUUUGCUGAUGAUUUCAAUUUCUAAAUCUGUGUCUCGGACCAUAAAGUUCCCUCUCUUCUCAGGUCAACCCCUUCUGCACAGCCCACCUAGCCUACCCUCCAUUUUAGACCGCCUGAUCAAGAUCUCACGAUCCGAAAAUGGGUCAAAACCACUAACCGUAGCCCUAGUUGCUAUAAAUAGACACCCUAGCACCCAAAUUUGGCUAACCCUCGGCUUAUCCUCGAAACCUGCGCCGGAUCAGCCCCCAACCGCCACCUGGGCGCAACCUCCUCCUCCCACCGACCAAGGCCCACAGAGCCCAUCUCCGAC
rnacentral:lncRNA from 1 species